rnacentral:lncRNA from 1 species
CCAUAGUUUAAUAGUCUAUAAGUAACAGUAGUGCAGGGGAGAGGACUGUCUACAUAUACACAUGGACAGAUGGCCACACAGCUUAGGGUUCAGAAAAAUAAACCAGACUAUGAACAAGUAGCUCUCCUCUAUCCAUACUUCAUUUUAAAUGAGGCUAACAAAGAAGAGUAGUGAGAAAUUAUUUUAAAAAUUUGAGUGUGGAGGAGGGCACAUGUGAGUGUACAGAUGCAUUUGUGUGUGUGUAGGGACAGAUGUGAGUGCACAGGUGCAUUUGUGUCUGUGGAGGGGCACAUGUGAGUGCACAAGUGCAUUUGUAUGUAGGGGCACAUGUGAGUGUACAGGUGCAUUUGUGUGUGUGUAGGGGCACACGUGAGUGUACAGGUGCAUUUGUGUGUGUGUGUAGGGGUACAUGUGAGUGCACAGGUGCAUUUGUGGGGGAGCACAUGUGAGUGCACAGGUGCAUGUGUGUGUGUGUGUGUGUGUGUGUGUGUGUAGGGGCACAUGUGAGUGCACAGGUGCAUGUGU